rnacentral:rRNA from 1 species
UACGGGAGGCAGCAGUGGGGAAUAUUGCACAAUGGGCGCAAGCCUGAUGCAGCCAUGCCGCGUGUAUGAAGAAGGCCUUCGGGUUGUAAAGUACUUUCAGUCGUGAGGAAGGUGUUAAGGUUAAUAACCUUAGCAAUUGACGUUAGCGACAGAAGAAGCACCGGCUAACUCCGUGCCAGCAGCCGCGGUAAUACGGAGGGUGCGAGCGUUAAUCGGAAUUACUGGGCGUAAAGGGCACGCAGGCGGUUAAUUAAGUUGGAUGUGAAAUCCCCGGGCUUAACCUGGGAAUGGCAUUCAAGACUGGUUAGCUAGAGUCUUGUAGAGGGGGUAGAAUUCCAUGUGUAGCGGUGAAAUGCGUAGAGAUGUGGAGGAAUACCGGUGGCGAAGGCGGCCCCUGGACAAAGACUGACGCUCAUGUGCGAAAGCGUGGGGAGCAAACGAGGGAUUUAGA